AAAAGUAAACUAGCGGUUUCUUAGAAUUAGACAUUACACGAAAAAAUUAUGAGAGUCUUACAUUAAUUUUCUACAACUGGAGCAAUGGUUGAACACCACCCUUAAGAGUCUAAACAACAUUUCAAUUCGUCCUAGAAUUGUUAUACUAAUUUCCGUUUUAGCAAUCUAAGUUCUCCUAGCACUAACAUGCAAAUUAUCGGCUAGUCAAAACCCAUUAUCAAUUAAUGUUUCCUAACCAGAAUUGCCCACCACUUCGCAUAAAUUCAGUUAUACAUUUCCAUGCUAAAAAUUACCUAAAAUCACUCUCAGAUAUUAUAAAUGCUAUACACAGUUUACAUUUGUGAGCGUUGUCAUGAAUCUUGUAACCAAUGUCAUGUUCGCUUGCGAUAAGAUUGCAAAUUGCAAUUGUAAGACUUAAUCUAAUUAAUUAAGAAUUACUUUUCAUCCACUACUGUUGACGUCAAUUGACUUCUCUUUUCAUAACAUUUCUUUGUUUUUUGCAU